UUGGAGUCUGCAACUCGACUCCAUGAAGUCGGAAUCGCUAGUAAUCGUAGAUCAGAAUGCUACGGUGAAUACGUUCCCGGGCCUUGUACACACCGCCCGUCACACCAUGGGAGUGGGUUGCAAAAGAAGUAGGUAGCUUAACCUUCGGGAGGGCGCUUACCACUUUGUGAUUCAUGACUGGGGUGAAGUCGUAACAAGGUAACCGUAGGGGAACCUGCGGUUGGAUCACCUCCUUACCUUAAAGAA
rnacentral:rRNA from 1 species